rnacentral:tRNA from 1 species
GCCGCCAUCGUCUAGUGGUUAGGACGCCGGGUUCUCAGUCCGGCAACAGGGGUUCGAUUCCCCUUGGCGGUA